rnacentral:rRNA from 1 species
AUUGAACGCUGGCGGCAGGCCUAACACAUGCAAGUCGAGCGAUCCGCGGACUUUUGUGUAAUGUAUCGGGAUCUUCCCGAUAGAGGUGGAUAACUUCUGGAAACUGUGGCUAAUCCCGCCUUCUAUCGGAUGAACCCAUCUGGGAUUAGCUAGUAGGUGGGGUAAAGGCUCACCUAGGCGACGAUCUCUAGCUGGGCUGAGAGGAUGAUCAGCCACACUGGGACUGAGACACGGCCCAGACUCCUACGGUAGGCAGCAGUGGGGAUUAUUGCACAAUGGGCGCAAGCCUGAUGCAGCCAUGCCGCGUGUAUGAAGAAGGCCUUAGGGUUGUAAAGUACUUUCAGCGGGGAGGCGGUAGCCGAAGAAGAAGCACCGGCUAACUCCGUGCCAGCAGCCGCGGUAAUAG